AGAGUUUGAUCAUGGCUCAGGAUGAACGCUAGCUACAGGCUUAACACAUGCAAGUCGAGGGGAAACGACAUCGAAAGCUUGCUUUUGAUGGGCGUCGACCGGCGCACGGGUGAGUAACGCGUAUCCAACCUGCCCACCACUUGGGGAUAACCUUGCGAAAGUAAGACUAAUACCCAAUGACGUCUCUAGAAGACAUCUGAAAGAAUUAAAGAUUUAUCGGUGAUGGAUGGGGAUGCGUCUGAUCAGCUUGUUGGCGGGGUAACGGCCACAAGGCGACGAUCAGUAGGGGUUCUGAGAGGAAGGUCCCCCANAUUGGAACUGAGACACGGUCCAAACUCCUACGGGAGCA
rnacentral:rRNA from 1 species